AAUGAACGCUGGCGGCAGGCCUAACACAUGCAAGUCGAACGGAUCCUUCGGGAUUAGUGGCGGACGGGUGAGUAACGCGUGGGAACAUACCCAAAGGUACGGAAUAGCCUCGGGAAACUGGGAGUAAUACCGUAUGUGCUCGAAAGAGGAAAGAUUUAUCGCCUUUGGAUUGGCCCGCGUUGGAUUAGGUAGUUGGUGGGGUAAUGGCCUACCAAGCCGACGAUCCAUAGAUGGUGUGAGAGGAUGAUCAGCCACACUGGGACUGAGACACGGCCCAGACUCCUACGGGAGGCAGCAGUGGGGAAUCUUAGACAAUGGGGGAAACCCUGAUCUAGCCAUGCCGCGUGAUCGAUGAAGGCCUUAGGGUUGUAAAGAUCUUUCAGGUGGGAAGAUAAUGACUGUACCACCAGAAGAAGCCCCGGCUAACUCCGUGCCAGCAGCCGCCGUAA
rnacentral:rRNA from 1 species